rnacentral:tRNA from 1 species
GCCGAAGUGGUGGAACUGGCAGACACGCAUGGUUGAGGGCCAUGUGCCCUACCGGGUAUGGGGGUUCGAGUCCCCCCUUCGGCA